CUCAUCAAAGAGUCAAGAAGCAGCUUCGCAACUUAGCUGCAGCCUUUUCAGAGCUCUUCAAAAAACACUAGGGUUUCCGAAAAAUUCUUCUUCAGAUUGGAGUUUUUUCGAUAGCUGUGGUUCAGAUCGGUUUCAUUAAACUUCUGCCUCAAUAGUGUGUAGAGCUUUGGGUUUUGCUUAUGGCAAGUCACAUGUGAGGAUGGAUGCUCCCUUUUGUUUGGGCUGAUGCUUGCGAAAAUAUAGCAGUGUUUUCCAUCAGCUCCAAGUGACAUGAUUGUAUUAUGCCAAAGAUUUGGGUGGAAAACCAAAUUUCUGUUUUAGUUACGUGGAUGAGAGGACUUGAUAUCUACUGAAGAUGCUUGCAGAUGCUACUAUGAUGUGAAAUUUUUGGUCAGGGUAUGUGGGUCAUCAUCCUAAUUAAUCCUAUUCAUUACUUGAAGUGAAUAUGUAUCUAUUGGGUGUUACAAUGUCUGAUGGGUAUUGUAAUUGAAGUACCAACCAGUUUAUUUGGAUUCAGUGCAGCUUGUUGUUCAUGGAUUUGGAUUAAUUCGGAAGGAGAUGAAUUUAUUUGGCUAAUAAAGUGUUUUCAUCUUAACAGUGCUGGCUUCUCUUGUUCUCUUUGUUUUCCAUGUUUUGCAAGCUUAAGAGUUUGAUUUAUGAUCUCCAUUGCAAUGUACAUAAUGAUGAUAUUUAGAUAUUCAUGUAGUGUUGAAUACUAAAGAUGUGCAGUCCAGUGGUUUCUGCGAAUUCAUCAUGGGAACUGCAGUCGGUUCACUUCCUUUAUUGAAUUUUUCGCUAAAUACUUUACAGGUAUAUGAUCGAACAAAAAUUAACAGGAUUAGGAAUGAUCACAUCAGAUUGAGAUGCAAGUAGCACAUAUGGAGGAUAAACGAGAGAGGAUUGUGUAGAAUGGUUUGUCCAGGUCCUAUGUAGACAAGAUGUGCACUGGUACAUGUGUAUUGCUGCGAUGAUUGGGGAUGCUAUAGAAAGAGACCUGACAGAUUGAAAGAUGCAUGAUCACUGAAUGCAGACUUAGUUAAGAAUGGAACACGUCCUAAGGAAAUGAUAUGCACUACCUACUAGUUGUGUCUUAGGCUUAGUUGCUGUUGUACUUGCAUUAGAUCUGGUGCUUUUUAGUUCACUGAAUGAAGUUUUUUCUUAUGUGUCUGGUUGGAGAUUGUCUCAGAGUUGGGGUAACAAUCUGAUUUUUUUUUUUUACUAGUAGUGGGGUGAAAUGGACCUGAAAAAGGAGGACCUUAAACAUAGAAUUCACUAGUUGCCAUCCAAUUUUGGAUUUCAUGCUUAGCUUAUUAUACUCUUUUAGCCUUUUACGGGAAGUUUUGUUUCUGAAUUAGUUUAUGUUUUUGUCAUACUUUAGUUGUUCAGUAUUCUAUCUGAACUGACGCUCAGUUUUACAAAAGAGCUGGCAGUUAUGUGUCGUUAAUUCCUGAUUUAUUUGUGAUGUAUCAGAUGAUGUAGCCUAAAAUAAUAAAUGUUACUGAACAUGCAUUUUAACCAUUUGGCUGGGGCAUGUGAUGUUGACCCAUGUAUGCCUUUUUAUUUAAAUUAUUUUUUAGACUUGUAGCUUGCAUACGCAUGGUAAUUUAUAUAUUGGUCUUUUGGGGAAGCUUCUGCGUGUAUUUUUAUUUCAGCACUGCUUACAUCAUUUUUUGUCAUUUUACAGUUAGUUCUAUAUUCUUAUAGAAACUAAACAUGCCUAAGGAGAGAAGAGAUAGGUCUGUUUCUUUUGAUAGGAGCAGAGCUUCUCCUUACUCUUGUAGCUCGAGUCACUCAAGGCAAUCGUUGUCCAAAAACCCUUUGGAAAACGAGGAAAAUGUGAAGGACUGGGAAGAUGCCCGCUGCCCAGUGUGUAUGGAACAUCCUCAUAAUGCUAUUCUCCUUUUGUGUGCCUCUCAUGAGAAGGGCUGUCGUCCUUUUAUGUGUGACACAAGUUAUAGGCAUUCAAAUUGUUUUGAUCAGUUCAAAAAAUCAUUUGAAGAAGCUUCAGCAUCAACAACACAGCAAUUGGAGAUCCCAGCUGCUAUUACGGAAUCUACUACAGCGAUAUCAGAAGUUCUGUCUGAACUGCCAGGUGAAAGAACUGAAGGUGGUUCUAUAUCCCUAGGUGCCUUGUCUUGUGAGAACCAUGAAAUUAAGAUGAUGCUAUGCCCUCUCUGCCGUGGUCAGAUAAAUGAUUGGAUUGUUGUUGACUCUGCCCGUCGUCACAUGAAUGCUAAAUUAAGAAGCUGCUCUAGCGAGACAUGCGAGUUCAGUGGCACAUAUACAGAUCUGCGUAAGCAUGCUAGGCAGGAGCAUCCUCUUGUUCGCCCUACAGAAGCUGAUCCAGAGAGGCAGCGCAGUUGGAGGAGGCUGGAACGUCAGAGAGAUUUAGGAGAUUUGCUCAGUACAUUGCAGUCAUCUGUUUCAGAAGAGGGUAGUGAAAGCACCAGUUUAACUUUUGACGAGGGUGGUCUGCUGACUGUUUUUCUCUUUGUUCGUAUUCUCCAACCUAGGAGUAAUUCUCGGAGUAGUAGCUGGUCAGGUUCCUCAAGAACCCGGGCCCAGGCAACUGGGAGGAGACGGCCUUCAAGAAGACUUUGGGGUGAGACCUAUGAAGGGGAAAUUGAUACUAGAGAUGACGAGAAUGAACAGUCUGAUGGAGGGUCAGGUCCCCGGAGACGCUUGCGUCGACAACCAACACCAGAAAAUUAAUUCUGUCUGCAAACAUGUGUUUGCUUGCUAUUCCUUUUGAAUGUUUACCGCUGUGGAGGGAACCUCGUGGUCCAAAAUAUGUCGAGCUGAAGCUGGGCAAUUGAUUCUUGGAUGCAAGAUUCGGAAGGAGUGGAAAUGGAGGAUUGUGUUUGGUUAGUAGUAUAAAUUGUAUACAUGUCUUUCUUGAUGAAUCUCAUCUCAGCCUCUGUGCUGUGCAAAUGCUUAAAACCUAUUUAUACUUGAAUGAUAAAGUUGGAAAGCAAUUUGCUAGUUCUGCUUUUA